rnacentral:rRNA from 1 species
AACGAACGCUGGCGGCAUGCCUAACACAUGCAAGUCGAACGAAGGCUUCGGCCUUAGUGGCGCACGGGUGCGUAACGCGUGGGAACCUGCCCCUCGGUUCGGAAUAACAGUUAGAAAUGACUGCUAAUACCGGAUGAUGACUUCGGUCCAAAGAUUUAUCGCCGAGGGAUGGGCCCGCGUAGGAUUAGCUAGUUGGUGGGGUAAAGGCCUACCAAGGCGACGAUCCUUAGCUGGUCUGAGAGGAUGAUCAGCCACACUGGGACUGAGACACGGCCCAGACUCCUACGGGAGGCAGCAGUGGGGGAAUAUUGGACAAUGGGCGAAAGCCUGAUCCAGCAAUGCCGCGUGAGUGAUGAAGGCCUUAGGGUUGUAAAGCUCUUUUACCAGGGAUGAUAAUGACAGUACCUGGAGAAUAAGCUCCGGCUAACUCCGUG